GUUGACUCCCCCAAUCCCCUGGGCAGCCCGUUUCAUUGCUUGACCACCAUCUCCGUGAAGAAUUCCUCCUGAUCUCUAAGCCUCCCUUGGUGCAACCUGAGGCCAUUGCCUCGCAACCUAUCACUUGCUACCUGUGAUAAAAGCCCAACACCCUCACUGCCACAUCCUUUCAGGUACCUGUAGACAGUGAUGAGGUCUCCCCUCACCCUCCUUUUCUCCAGACUAAACCACCCCAGUUCCCUCAUUAUCCUGCACUACAAACCUGGGCUGUAUGAAACGUCCCAGGUCUGACUGAAGCAUACCUUCUUGCAGAGCAUCCUGUCUUGCUCUACAGAACCAUCUCUCCUUGGUGAUGUGUUGUAAUGACCAGUUGCCUGCACUGUUAUAAAACUGGACUGAAUUUCUAAUUUAAUUUGCCUGUGUCCAGCUUCCAGCCACUGGAUCCUGUUGUUGUCUUUCUCCGCAAGCUGAGAGAAGUGAUGACUGCCUAGCAUUUUCUGCCUGGGAAAGCACUUGAAUGCUGUAAUCAAGUCACCUCUCACUUUUCUUGUUGACAAGCUGAACAGCUGGAACUCUACAUCUGUGACUGAAAA